GCCCUUCAGAGGGGGACAACAGUUGGAAACGACUGCUAAUACCGCAUACGAUCCAAUCUCGGCAUCGAGACUGGAUGAAAGGUGGCCUCUAUUUAUAAGCUAUCACUGAAGGAGGGGAUUGCGUCUGAUUAGCUAGUUGGAGGGGUAACGGCCCACCAAGGCGAUGAUCAGUAGCCGGUCUGAGAGGAUGAACGGCCACAUUGGGACUGAGACACGGCCCAG
rnacentral:rRNA from 1 species